rnacentral:rRNA from 1 species
GACGAACGCGGGCGGCGUGCUUAACACAUGCAAGUCGAACGAGAGGACAUGAAAAGCUUGCUUUUUAUGAAAUCUAGUGGCAAACGGGUGAGUAACACGUAAACAACCUGCCUUCAAGAUGGGGACAACAGACGGAAACGACUGCUAAUACCGAAUACGAUCCGAAAGUCGCAUGACAUUUGGAUGAAAGGGUGGCCUAUCGAAGAAGCUAUCGCUUGAAGAGGGGUUUGCGUCCGAUUAGGUAGUUGGUGAGGUAACGGCCCACCAAGCCGACGAUCGGUAGCCGGUCUGAGAGGAUGAACGGCCACACUGGAACUGAGACACGGUCCAGACUCCUACGGGAGGCAGCAGUGGGGAAUCUUCCGCAAUGGACGAAAGUCUGACGGAGCAACGCCGCGUGAGUGAAGACGGCCUUCGGGUUGUAAAGCUCUGUGAUUCGGGACGAAAGGCCAUAUGUGAAUAAUAUAUGGAAAUGACGGUACCGAAAAAGCAAGCCACGGCUAACUACGUGCCAGCAGCCGCGGUAAUACGUAGGUGGCAAGCGUUGUCCGGAAUUAUUGGGCGUAAAGCGCGCGCAGGCGGUCUCUUAAGUCUAUCUUAGAAGUGCGGGGCUUAACCCCGUGAGGGGAUGGAAACUGGGAGACUGGAGUAUCGGAGAGGAAAGUGGAAUUCCUAGCGUAGCGGUGAAAUGCGUAGAUAUUAGGAAGAACACCGGUGGCGAAGGCGACUUUCUGGACGAAAACUGACGCUGAGGCGCGAAAGCGUGGGGAGCAAACAGG